rnacentral:rRNA from 1 species
AGCUCCAAUAGCGUAUAUUAAAGUUGUUGCGGUUAAAAAGCUCGUAGUUGGAUUUCUGUUGAGGACGACCGGUGUACACUUCGUGUAUUAUUAGGUUCGGUCUCGGCAUCCUCUAGGGGAACGUUGCUGACCUUCACUGGACAGGGCGUGCCUUUAGACUUUUACUUUGAGGAAAUUAGAGUGUUCACGGCAAGCAAGCGCUUUGAAUACAUUAGCAUGGAAUAAUAAUAUAGGACCUUCGUUCUAUUUUGUUGGUUUCUAGAACUUAGGUAAUGG